GCAUCAAAACUAAUGCCCCCUGUGGACCCAGAACAGGCCUACAGGAGAGGAAAGAGCAGAAAACCUACCUGCCUCACUGCUUCUGUGCCAAGUCCAGGAAUGGUGUUUGCCUUGCUACAUCUGUAAGCCAGCAACAAAGGAGGAGGCCAUUAGAGGUCAAGGUCUUGUCUUAAGAAUAUUCAUUAAAAUAAAGGCACUGACUUCAUUCUUAGGCAGAUUCUCAUCCUGUGGAGUAUCUAGUCCUUUUGACUAAUAUUUUUGUUCUUCUUGAGUCUGAUCUGGAUCUGUUCUAAUGUGUUUCAGCUAUGAGGGUAGUGGAAGUAAAUUAAAAAGAAAUUUAAAUAGCUUCCCAUCCCCUAAAUUGGUUUCAUACUAAUAUGACCCUAAAUAUGAAAGUUUUUGAUGAUCUGGCUACUGCAGUCAUCCGUAUGAACUCUCUUACUGCUGACUGAGAGUUAAUUAUCAUCAAAUACCCAUCCACUGAGGGUCAGUUACAAGUUGGGACAAUUGUGGUGAAUAAUACAAAUGUGGGGUGCCUGGGUGGCUCAGUCGGUUGGGCGGCCAACUUUGGCUCAGGUCAUGAUCUCGCUGUCUGUGAGUUUGAGCCCUGUGUCGGGCUCUGUGCUGACAGCUCAGAGCCUGGAAGCUGCUUCUGAUUCUGUGUCUCCCUCUCUCUCUACCCCUUCCCUGCUUGCUCUCUUUCUCUCUCUCUCUCUCUCUCAAAAAUAAUAAAAAACAUUAAAAAAUUAAUAAUACAAAUGCAAUUUAUUUUACUGUUUACUCUCUCAUGUCAGAGUGAUCAGCUAGUAAAACAAAAAUUAUAGAUAAGUACUUAAAAAAAAUUUUGUUUGUAAUGUUUCUGUCCCAUCCAUAUGAAAUUUAAACUUUUUUCAAAUGUAAUUUACUAAUAAUAUACUCUGUGCCUGAAUCACAUAAUUACAUCCUCUGCCCACUUACCCAUAAAUAUGUUUGAAUUGGUAAUGUUCAUAAAUAUGUUUGCAUAAAUUUUCAUAUGGUUGAAGAUGAUAACAGUUUCCCAUUUGUGGUGAAUAUUCUUUUGUUUUUAUUGUUACUUUGUUGUUUAGAAGUUUAAAAUUUUUUGUAACUACAUUUGACCAUUUUAUUUCACUUCUCAUUUCUUUUCUUGCUUCAAUUAUAAGAAGGUUAUCACCUUAAAGUUAAUUAAGGGACUAAAACCCCUAAUUUUCCCUGAGGAUGCCAUUCCCCACCAUCCUUGAGAUCUUACACUGACAUUCUCUGGGCCUGGGAGUCCAUGUCCCAUAACUCUUCAAUAUAUUAUUUUCACAAAGGUUGAACACUUGUGUUAUGACUUUAUUUUUUAAAUUUAAUUUAAUUAAAAAAUUUAAACUGAAUUUUAUUUUUUUUUUAGUUCUCAAGUUAGUUAACAUACAGUGUAGUCUUGGCUUCAGGAGUAGAACCCAGUGAUUCAGCUCUUAUAUAUGACACCCAGUGCUCGUCCCGAAAAGUGCCCUCCUUAAUGCCUGUCACCCAUUUAACCCAUCUCCUACCCCCAUCAACUCUCAGUUUGUUCUUUGUAUUUAAGAGUUCUUUAUGGUUUGCCUUCCUCUCUGUUUUUAUUUUAUUUUUCUUAUGACUUUAACAGAGCAGUUACCUACAGAGUCCAUUGUUCACCUGUUUAUCCUGGAUUUAGAACUAUCUAUGUUUGCUGAUGUCUGAGAGGCUAUGGCUUACUCCAUUUAUACCCAGGUUGGUAUACACAUUCACUCAUUUCUUCAUUCAUUUACACAUUUAUUUAUUCAUUCACUUUGGUAUUUGUGGCAUACAGAUUCAUAUGUAGCCCUCAGUGAGCCCUGCUUUCUGGUGUUUACCCAUGUGUGUGGGCAGGACAUAUGACUUGCUUCUAACCAACAGAAUAUAGUAAAGGUGACGAAAUGUCCCCUCUGUGAUUGAUUACAUAAUAAAGACUCUGUCUUGUUGGAAGACUCAAUCUAGAGAGUGUCCUUGCUGGCUUGAUGAGAUAAGCGGCCAUGUUGGGGAAAACCCCAUGGUGAGAAACUGUGGACAGUUUCCAGACAACAGCCAGGAAGAAGCUGGGAUCCUUGAUCUUAGAGCUGCCAGGAAAUGAAUUCUGCCAAGAAUGUGAGUGAACUUGGAAGGUAUUUCUUCCCCAGUUGAGCCUCCAGAUGGGAACACAGUCCAGAUGAUACCUUGCUUGCAGUCUUGUGAGACUGUAAGUAGAGGGACCAUCUAAGCCAUGCCUUCACCUGUAGAAACUGUGAAAUGAUAAAUGGCUAUUGUUUUUAGCUACUAAGUAUGUGUUAAUUUGUUGUGCAGCUAUAGAAAAUGAAUACACUGUGCUGUGCUAACUACCAUAUAGGCCUUCUCUCAGUACCUGAAGUAGCCUCAUGAGCCUGACACUAAUAUUAUUCCCAUUUUACAGAUGAAGAAACUGAGCCUCAGGAACUGAACUGCAGAAUGUCCUGCUCUCAACCACUGAACUAUCAUGCUAUGUUUCAUUUUUAAUGUAUUUCAUUAUUUCACAAAUUCAAGUUUAUCACGGUUUAAAACUUAUCUCCUGAACAUGCCAACUGUAUUUACAAAAAGCCCUACUAGGCACACCUAGUACACAAAAUAAAUGUUUUUAUAAAUGCAACAUUACAAGGAACUUUUCUUUUGUGCUCAUUUUUACCAUGUAUCUCACAGAAAUAAUAUUAGAUUCAUGAAUAGAAAAGUUUCUAUUUUCUGUUAAAGGAGUGAUAGACUGUAUCACUAAAAUAGUGAUAGACUGUAAACUAUUUAGAAGGGAGAAUAAUUAUGGCUGAUAGAAGCCCCAGAUUCAUGGGAAUUGAUUUGGAGUUAAAACAGCCAAGUAAACAUCCAUUAGAAUGUGCUGGAUCUUACUGCAGGACAAAAACGUUUCAUCUUGGGUCCUAACUUUCCCAUUUAUGUUCAGGUAUAGGGAAACAUUAGGAAGUGGGGAAAUUGAGAAAUACUUAAAAGAAAAACAACUAACAACUAAAGUCCUAUUUGGAUCAGUGCUCUGAGAAUCUGAGAUAGGAUUAUGACCCCACUACUGUGUCUUCUAAUGACAGCUCUUUCUAUUCUGCAUUUAUCAGAUGUUAAUUAUUCAUACUGCAUGAUUGAUGAUUUUGGAGUCAGAGAUUCACCUGCAAUAUUUGGAAUACUGGUGGAGGCCUACAUCAACACAGAAUUUAUAAAGCAGCUGGUGCUAGUCAAAGCUAAUGAUGGAAUUUCAGUUUAAUAAAAAGACCCCCAACUGAGCACACCAUCUUGAAAAAAGUAUACUUAUCGAACGGCUUUCAAUCAGUUCAAGAGAGACACCUUAAUUGGGAAGAGGAAAAUUUGCAGAGCAGUUUGUCAUUGUGCCAAUUCUAGAUCAAUAACUGCAUGUCUGCUCUUUGGGAGACAUAGCUUUUGCUUUAUAUUGAGUAACCACAUUGACUUCCUCUCCACUUGGGUACACUCUGUUUCAUUUGAUAAUGUUAAAGGAUAUCUUCUUUUAAUUCACCUCUGUGUCUUCAUAAUAAACAUGAGCAAAUGUAGACUUGUGAUUAUGAAGGUCAACAUUUUAAAUUUUUAAAAUAAAUUUUAUAUUUUUGCCACAAGAAGGCAAUGCUUAUUGAAUUUUGAUAUUUUCAAAACUGUUUUAUUGGAAAAAAUCACAUGGGUAGAAUUAAAUUAUGGUGGUUUAAGUAAAAGAAGAAUAUGAUGAGCAAUGAUGAUUUGGAUUCAUAUAAAAUUAUUCUGGAGAAUACUGUAC
rnacentral:lncRNA from 1 species